GACGAACGCUGGCGGCGUGCCUAAUACAUGCAAGUCGUACGCAUUGAUAAUGGAACUUGUUCCAUUUGACGUGAGUGGCGCACGGGUGAGUAACACGUGGGAAACCUACCCUUCAGCGGGGGAUAACCGUCGGAACGAUGGCUAAUACCGCAUAGGUCUUUGAGUCACCUGACUUAAAGAGGAAGACGGCUUCGGCUGUCACUGAAGGAUGGUCCCGCGGUGCAUUAGCUAGUUGGUAAGGUAAUGGCUCACCAAGGCCACGAUGCAUAGCCGACCUGAGAGGGUGAUCGGCCACACUGGGACUGAGACACGGCCCAG
rnacentral:rRNA from 1 species